CGCCCGGCCGGAUCCCGUGGGGGGAAUCCGCUCCGGGAUAUGGGAAGCGCCCCGUUUCGUCGAC
rnacentral:ncRNA from 1 species